rnacentral:rRNA from 1 species
GGGCCCGCACAAGCGGUGGAGUAUGUGGUUUAAUUCGAUGCAACGCGAAGAACCUUACCAGGGUUUGACAUCCUGCGAAUCUCUUGGAAACUUGAGAGUGCCUUCGGGAGCGCAGUGACAGGUGGUGCAUGGCUGUCGUCAGCUCGUGUCGUGAGAUGUUGGGUUAAGUCCCGCAACGAGCGCAACCCACGUCUUUAGUUACCAGCAAGUAAUGUUGGGUACUCUAGCGAGACUGCCGGUGCAAACCGUGAGGAAGGUGGGGGAUGACGUCAAAUCAUCACGGCCCUUACGUCCUGGGCCUACACACGUGCUACAAUGGCCGGUACAGAGAGCAGCCACUACGCGAGUAGGAG